rnacentral:rRNA from 1 species
AUUGAACGCUGGCGGCAUGCCUUACACAUGCAAGUCGAACGGCAGCACGGGGGCAACCCUGGUGGCGAGUGGCGAACGGGUGAGUAAAGCAUCGGAACGUGCCCGGAAGUGGGGGCUAACGUAGCGAAAGUUACGCAAAUACCGCAUAUUCUGUGAGCAGGAAAGCAGGGGAUCGCAAGACCUUGCGCUUUCGGAGCGGCCGGUGUCGGAUUAGCUAGUUGGUGAGGUAAAAGCUCACCAAGGCGACGAUCCGUAGCUGGUCUUAGAGGAUGAUCAGCCACACUGGGACUGAGACACGGCCCAGACUCCUACGGGAGGCAGCAGUGGGGAAUUUUGGACAAUGGGGGCAACCCUGAUCCAGCCAUGCCGCGUGAGUGAAGAAGGCCUUCGGGUUGUAAAGCUCUUUCGGACAGAAAGAAAUCGCACGUUCUAAUACAGCGUGCGGAUGACGGUACUGUCAUAAGAAGCACCGGCUAACUACGUGCCAGCCGCCGCAGUAACAC